UACGAAGGGUGCAAGCGUUACUCGGAAUUACUGGGCGUAAAGCGUGCGUAGGCGGUUUGUUAAGUCCGUUGUGAAAGCCCUGGGCUCAACCUGGGAAUUGCAGUGGAUACUGGCGAGCUAGAGUGCGGUAGAGGAUGGUGGAAUUCCCAGUGUAGCGGUGAAAUGCGUAGAGAUUGGGAAGAACACCAGUGGCGAAGGCGGCUAUCUGGACGGUUUCUGACGCUAAGACGCGAAAAGCGUGGGGAGCAAACAGGG
rnacentral:rRNA from 1 species